rnacentral:lncRNA from 1 species
CUGAUGAUCUUGGAUAUCUUCAACAGAUCUCUUAAAGCUGCAUAAGCAUUUGGCCUCUAUGGAUAUCCAUACAAGGCCUUGAUCUGAUCAGAAGCCUUUGUCUUACCGGGGUGCUAGCUCCUUUACAAAAAUCAUAUUUUGAUGAUUGAUAAAAAAAAAAAAUUCUCUCAAGUCACUUUUAGAGAAGAAUAAGAAUAGGAGGAUAAAGAGGAAGACGAAGAUCAAGGAGAUCCUCUCUUUUUUCUUUCUGGAACCAUGCAUAUGAUUUCUACACUAGAGAUCUAGAAAAAAAUUCAUUCUUCUCUUUUCUUUCAUGCAUGAGAGAGAACCUUUCUUUCAUCCCUUUUUACGACUUCAAGAGGAAUCUUUCUUCUCCAAAAAUCAGCACACAAGAAGGAAGACUCUUUUUCUUUCUUCAGCCCAUAAGGAAGAUUUUCUUCCUCUCUUUUAUCACGCCAACAAGAGGAACACUUCCUCUCUUUUCUCCCUGUUGAAACUUCAGCCCAAGCCACC